rnacentral:rRNA from 1 species
UACGAAGGCUCCAAGCGUUAUCCGGAUUUAUUGGGCGUAAAGCGUGCGCAGGUGGUUAUGUGCGUCUGUUGUUAAAUGUCUCAGCUUAACUGGGUCACCGCAAUGGAUACGGCAUAACUAGAGCAUGUAAGAGGUAACUGGAACUCACGGUGUAGGGGUGAAAUCCGUUGAUAUCGUGGGGAACACCAAAGGCGAAGGCAGGUUACUGGUACAUUGCUGACACUCAGGCACGAAAGCGUGGGGAGCAAAAAGG